CAAUGUGGGGCUCGAAUUCACCACAAGAUCAAGAGUCCUAGAAUCAAAAUCCUAGUCCAAGGGAUUUUUUUUCCUUGAUAAAAAUAACUUCGUUGAUCUAUUUCUGACCUCCUCCCCUAACAAACUUUUCUAUUUAUUUUAUUUGGGGGCUUGCCCUUCCCAACUCAUAUUUAUCCUUGUCUUCAGGAUUUAAUUACCUUCCUGUUCCCUAGGAUUUCUGGGGGUUCAUUUUCCCCUCCAGAUUGUUGAUUUAAAAGCAAAAUUCAUUUCCCCACUUCCAGUUAGCGUUCUCAGAGCUUCAAACUGCCCUGAGAAUAACUCAGGAAGCCAAGGAUGGCAAUUUCCCGGAGUCCCAGCAGGGCUGAGCUUGAAAAGUGCCCCAGUUAAGGGAUAUUAGGAAGCAGGGGCGGGUAGCGCUCCCUGGCCGCUCCUUGCUGGGCCACAGGCACCAUUUUGAGUAAUAAUCAUGCAUGACACUUGAAAUCUUCAUUCUCCACAAUGCUUCACAACUUUCUAAUUUCUAAAACUUUCGUUUUUUACUCCUUGGUUAAUCACGCGGAUUAUUUAGUACUUUAUCCCUCAAGAAAAUUAACUGUAGGUUCUUUUCAUUCUACUCCCAUCCACUCUCCAUUUCUAAUUUUAUUUCUCCUUUAGUCUUGGAUCAUGUGUUUUGUUCCUCCUAUCUUUGGGGGACACUAGGGCAAUUUCUCAAAAUCUUGAAUUGAAUGCUCAUUAAAAUGUUAACUCUUAACCAUUUUAAGUUUCACAGCCUGUCUAGGUGUGGAUAUGGAGAACUCUGCCCAUCCUUGUGGUGCUGGGAGCUCAGUGGAUCUGCAGCCUGGCUCUCCCUGCAGUAGCAGCCAUUCAGGACAACAUAUAUUCCGCAGGGUUAUUGUAAAGCUCCUCCUGGGUGCUAUGUGGUCAAUGAGAUGGGCCACAACCUGCAAGCUGGUGGGUAAGUGUCAUUCUAGUCACUGCAGUCCUCUGGAUCAUCCCCCAAGGCCGCUAAGGUAACCCUUCCUGUGCUGUCAGGAAAGUAUUCACCUCACUUCACAGAGAAAAUGUACUCUUAAGUUUACAGCUGGCAGAGUUGAAACUGGAUCUUCAACUCACUGGUGCAUAGCUCGGGCUGACUGACCCACUCAUCUGUGUGGGGCUGCACAAAAUAAUCUCUAUCAACUGCAGCUCCAAGUACUGGUUUUCUUUUCUUUUUUAAAAUAUUUAUUUAUUGGGGCGCCUGGGUGGCUCAGUCGGUUAAGCGGCCGACUUCGGCUCAGGUCAUGAUCUCGCGGUCCGUGAGUUCGGGCCCCGCGUCGGGCUCUGUGCUGACAGCUCGGAGCCUGGAGCCUGUUUCGGAUUCUGUGUCUCCCUCUCUCUGACCCUCCCCCGUUCAUGUUCUGUCUCUCUCUGUCUCAAAAAUAAAUAAAUGUAAAAAAAAAUAAAUAAAUAAAAUAAAAUAUUUAUUUAUUUUGAGAGAGAAAGAGCGAGCUUGAGCAGGGGAAGGGUAGAGAGAGGGAGACAAAGAAUCCCAGGCAAGCUCCGAUCCCCCAAUGCAGGGCUGGAACUCACAGAACAGUCAGAUCAUGACCCCAGCUGAAAUUAAGAGUGGGACUCUUAACCAACUGAACCACCCAGGUACUCGCCAAGUACUGGUUUUCAAUCCACCACCUGAAUGACCGGUGGUGUGUGUAUGUGUAGAAUUUUAGCAAUUUAGUCCCCUCACUUGCAACUAUCUGUUUAGUGGGUUGUUAUACAAACUCACCCAGCCUCUGGGAAAGGGGCUUAAUCCUUCUGGGCCUUAGUUUCCUCUUUCUAAGUGAUUAGGUUACAUAAAGCCAGGAAUAGCAUGUAGGAAAGGAUGAUGGAGGAUGUUUUUCUUCCUCCUCUUAGUUUACUUCCCUGUCUGCUUCUUCCCUUCCAGGGUAAGCCAUCUCCCUCAGUGCUUAGAGUUCCACAGUGAACGCUGACUAACCAGGUACACUAGGGCUACCAGUCCACAAAUAGAAUAAUAACUAAUAACAAUGACCUUUCAAGAUCUUGUUGGGGGCAGGGUCAGGAGGAACGCUCACCUCAGCUCCUCUCAUCCCUGUGCACACUCCCUUGUUCCUUUUUCUCCUUGUCCAGAAUGCCCCUAGCUUUACACCUUUUCUCCUCCUCUCCCCAUCACUCUUCAGCUCUGCUGGGCCCUCCAUGGCAUUGCCUUUGAAGUUUGUUUACCCCAUGGUCUGCUGAGGAUGUCAGCUGGUUCUUGUGCAUCAGAAACCCUAAAGCCAGGCCCAGCAGAAGAUCUCCCAAAGGUGCUGAUGGUCAUCUUAACAUCAAAGUCUUCGAAUAGCAGUGGUUAGUUACGUGAAGACCCCUCAAGACCUGGGCUUUACACACCAUAGUCCCAGUAAGCAAUAGCAUCUAUUCUUAUACAAAGGAAGUCCAUACUGGGAGACUCAGCCCUGUCCAAAGCCACACUGGGGAACAUAGCAGCUGGGAUCCAAGCCCUGUUCUUUUAUGCCCUUUACACCAAAGGCUAUGCUUCCCAUAGCCACUAUCUUAAUUUUCCUCAUACGUGCCAGAGUGUGCCAUACCCCUGCCUGUUAGUCUUUCCCAACAUCUUCACCUGAUACCCCUUCCUCAUCCAGCUCUUAGCUUCUGUGUCCUCUCCUCAGAACUGUCUUCCUGAGCAGUUCUCAACUAGUAUUGCCCACCCACGCCUCCUCCCGCUAGCAUAUUCCAUUGUUUCGUUUUUCUUCACAGCACUGACUGCUAUCUCAAAAUAUCUGUUUCGUUAAUUAUCACCUUUCUACCUUUUCUACAGCAGCACUGCCCAAUGGAGCGCUCUUUAAGGAAAUGUAGAUCUACACUGUCCAACAUAGUAGCCAUUAGCUGCAGCUGACCAAUGACCAUCUGAAAGAUGGCCGUGACUAAGGAACUAAACUGGUUAAGUUCAUUUUAGUCUGUUUAAGCUUAAUCAGUCACAUGUUAGUGGCUGCUCUGAAAUGAAUGUAGGCCCAUUCAUAAGACAGGGGCCUUACCACCAUGUUCAAUACUGUGACCCAUCCCUGUAACAGUUCGUGGCAUUUUUGCAGGCGCUCAAGAAAUACUGGCUCGACAUAACCUUAAAAAGUGCCUUUUGAGUUUUUUAGCUCUCUGGAUUUUCCUAUAUUUCGUCAUUUACAGGAAAUUUCACUGGCAUUUUAAUUGUGUCCCACCUUUAAACUAUCAUGGGAGGAUUGCUAUUGUUACAAAGUUCCCUUCCACUUGGGAGCCUGAGCAGUAGCUGGGAGUGCAGGCCACCGGGUAGGAAGACACCUGGUUUAUACUCCUGCUUCUUUCCCAACCAGCUAGGUCAGAGACUUGCAUUUCUGCUUCCAAUGUAGAAUGGCUCCAACACUUCUCUAGAGGCUGGAAUGAUGGAAGGACUUAAGUCAAGAAAGGGAAUGCAUAAACUUAAAAUUUUUAUAAGCCCUCAAAAGAAGUUAUUGCUUCUACUUAUUUUAUAUCCCACUAACUUAAAUUUUUUUUCAAAUAGAAAUGCCUUAAUAAUUUAUUCCUUAACAAUUCCUAAUCAUUUCGGGGUGCCUGGGUGGCUCAGUCAGGUAAACAUUUGACUCUUGAUUUCAGCUCACGGUUCAUGGGUUCAAGGGCGGAGCCUGCUUGGGAUUCUUUCUCUGCCUCUCUCUGCCACUCCCCUCCUCAAAAUAAACCCAAAACAAAACAAAAAAAAUAAUUCCUAAUCAUUUAAUUCAUUCUUAGAUCCCAUUUCAAAAACCUAUUAAUAUCUUUGUGUUAAAUUGGGUAUUCCUUGUGUAAGCCAAGGCUAUUCACCUCUAUUGUUAUUUGUCACAUUGAUGAACUCUUAUUUUAACUAUUUCAAAGGAUUAGUUUAAGGUGGUUAAUUGUCAUGAGCUAUCAAUAUUUCCUUUUUAAUAUUUUUCUCAUUUUGUGCUUUAGUGACAAAAAUGCUAUGUAUACCUUGCAGAAUCUGUCAACAUUCCAGCCUUGUCCUGUCAUUGAACUGCUCGUGUUCCAUCGAAAUGGCCUUUUAACAGGAAGUUGGAAGAUACUCACUGCCCAGGUCAGUAAUAAUAAGUAUCUGGCCACUUUGUUCUGAAAAAUUUUUAUAAAUUAUUUUAACAUUUUUCCUAGGACCAAUUUUGACAACCUUCCACUUUUCCCGAAAUCUUUCCAUUUUGUUGUUUGUUAAUUUCUGGGCAUCUAGGCUGUGUCAGGAACUGGUAACACAGCAGGAAGGAGGUAGCAGUUUCCUUCUCAGGAGGCUGUCACAGCCUGUCAGUAUCUACAUUCAGUGAUUACCACCUGACACACAUAUUUGAACUUGUAUGUGUAUUUUUUUUUAAAUGAUAUUAUGUGCAUCUGCUUAUCUUUAUACGUGUUAAAGAUACAUAUUUAAGAAAUACACGUAUCUUGGAGACUUUCAUAUCAGUACAUGGAGCUGGCUCAUGCAUUGUUACUGUUGUACAAAGUUCUAUAAUGAAAAUUACAUGUGUUGCUGAAUAUGUGUGUAGUGUUAUUUCCCUGUAUAAGUUUUUAGCUUGCCUUUGAUUUAUUCUGUUUAAUCAAAGUUGGUUUUGAAUUUUUGUCUUUCCAGAAAAUUAGUUCUUGGGUUCUUUUUUUCUUCUCCAUUUGAUUCAUUUAUUUGUGUUGUAUUUAUCUUUUCUGUUUCCUUAGGACUUUGAGUCAAAUGUGUAGUUCUUUUGUUUUCCUUAUUUAAUUAAUAGUGAGGGCAUUUUCAGGUCCUGAAAUUACCCUAGGUAUUAUAUUUGGAUACCAGGCAGAACGGUUUCCAGAUAGAAGGAUCAAGAUUACAUGGAUGCUAAUGAGCAAAUACGUGGAGGGUCACAGAAUGUAUUCUUGAAUAAAGGUUUACACACUCUGCUAGGCUGGAUUCCUGCCAAAAUGUUUUGAUAGUCACUCGAGAUUCUAAACUCUUGACUCACUCCCUAGGAUGUGAGCCUUUCAGAGUUCUUAAUAGCACUAUAUAUCUCAAGAUUGCCCCUUAUCAUCCCUUACCUACCCUCUUGUCUCAAAGCCUGGCCUUGUCUUCAUAGUCUCCUCUUUGAAGACAUCCUCUUGUUUUUUCCACAAUUUCUUCAAUCAUUUAUUCACUCAACAGUUUCCUGAGCUAGAGAUGGAGUCAUUGUCUUAGCAACUGGGGAUAUAUAUGGGAAACUGAAAUAAAGACACCUGCUCUCUUGUUUAAUAUUUGUUCUAGGUGUUCAGUCAGAUAACAGAACAAGUUGGAAAAGACCUCUUUUUCUGUAUUUGUAUACAUAUGUGAUCAAAAUUUUAUUUAGAACUUGCCUUCUGUAUGACUUAUCUGGUAUAAAAAUAGGAUGAGACAUUUCAUUUUUAUUAUUCAGUGUGGUUCUCUCCAGUGUAAGUUUUCUGUUUUGUUGUUCUGUCAAAUAAGGUGGGAGCUAAGUCUAAUGAUUUGCCUGCACGGAUUACAUUGAGGAUCUGCUCUCAUAGGAGUCCUCUGAUGUUGAAUACAAUGAGGACUCCUACUGAAGGGCUUCUUGCCAGUGGGUUCUGUGACUCCUGAAGCCUUCCUAAGACCCGAUUACAUUCUCAUGAUCCUGAGUAAGAGAGCUGUGCUUGAAAGAAACCUUUUCACACGGUCAUAGUCCCUUGGCUUUGGAGUUCUCAUAGCAUGACAGGUUCAUCUGGACCAACUACGCAAGACUGCAGAGGAUUAACCUGAGCAGAUUAACAGCAACCACUACAGUGAAAGCCCAACAGCACUCAGAAGGCCUGACAUAGCACAGUGAAGCGAGAUCCCUCUUUGUACACUUGUGCCAAAACUCAACUAGACCAAUUCUGCAUCAAGGAAUUCUAAAUGCAAUCAUGCUAACAGGAUUUUCUUAAUGAACCCCUGACAAACUGAUGUCAAGCACUCAUCUUGCAAACCAGGUGGGUGAGAAUAGUUCAUAGUUUGUUUUUUUUGUUUGUUUGUUUUUUUUUUUUUGGUUUUUUUUAGAAAUAAUGAGAGGAACUAUCAUUUAUCCAAGUUAUAAAACUACCAUAUGUACAGCAGUAUGUGUACUCAGACUAAGAUCAACGAAGCAGAAGGGACCAAGACCGAAGCCUAUGCCCAAUAAGUACCAUGGAAAUUUAGUCUGUAAUAAGGACGGUGUUUCCAAUAAGCAGAAGAAUCUAGUCAAAAUUUGUUGAAAGAACAUAUGCUCCAUACCAUAUACACAAAGAAACUCCAGAUAAGUGCAGCAAUCAGACAAAAACAAACAAACAAAAAACCCUGAAAUACAAGAAAGUAUUUAUGAAAUCUGCCUAUCUAUGAAUGGGAUAGGAAUAAAAACAGAUCUGAAAGGAA